UACGGAAUGUGCAAACGUUAUUCGGAAUCACUGGGCUUAAAGAGUCCGUAGGCGGCAUGUUAGGUGAGGUGUGAAAUCCCCCGGCUCAACCGAGGAAUUGCGCUUCAAACCGGCGUGCUAGAGGAAGAUAGAGGUGGGCGGAACUGAUGGUGGAGCGGUGAAAUGCGUUGAUAUCAUCAGGAACACCGGAGGCGAAAGCGGCCCACUGGGCCGAUACUGACGCUGAGGAGCGAAAGCGUGGGGAGCAAACAGG
rnacentral:rRNA from 1 species